AUGGAGAUGGAUCCACUACCCAAAAUGCUUGCCUCUCUCAUCAUGACCAUACUGAUCAUGACCAUGAUGGCCACCUCCGCCGCAGUUGCGUCGUCGGAUGCAGCGGUGCUCGAAGGACAAGCAAGAGCACUCCUCGUCUGGAAAGAUAGCCUCGACAACCAAAGCCAGCAAGGCCUGCGCUCCUGGGGAAACACGUCGACGCCUUGCAACUGGCGCGGCAUCAGUUGCGAUAUCAGUGUGCACCGACAACAGCAUUGGCCGGUGAUCAACGGCAUCUCUCUAUGGGGUAUGCGGCUGAGAGGGGCUCUGGAGUCCCUCAACUUCUCGGCCUUGAGGACCUUGACACGCCUCGACCUCUCGCACAACCUCCUCGCUGGGAGCAUUCCUCCUAGUAUCGAGGUCCUUGGCGAGCUCCAUGCUCUCCUUUUGCAAGGCAACCAGAUAAGAGGCUCAAUCCCACUAGGUCUAGGAAAUCUCACAAAAUUACAUUCCUUAAUGCUUCAUGAAAAUGAACUCUUCGGUGAAAUACUAAGUCAGAUAGGCAACUUGAGUAGUCUUGUCACCCUCAACUUGUCAAACAAUCACUUAGUUGGUCAUAUCCCUUGUGAAAUAGGACACAUGAAGCACUUAGUUGCAUUAGAUUUGUCCAGUAAUGAUCUUUUUGGUAAAAUACCAAGCAGCAUAGGUGGUUUGACCGAACUCACUAGCUUGUACCUUUACGGUAAUCGACUUUCUGGACAAAUUCCACGAGAACUAGGUUAUCUUCUAAACUUAAAGGACCUGCAACUUGGCAUCAACACACUGUCGGGUUUCAUUCCACGAAAUUUACAUAAUUUGACCAAGCUCACUGUGUUAAUUCUAGGGGGAAACAAACUUUCCGGGUUAAUUCCACAAAAAAUAGAUUACCUUUCGAACUUAGAGUACCUGGAUCUUGGUGACAACAUACUCCCGGGUUCCAUCCCAAAUAGCAUAGGAAAUUUGACCAAACUCAUAGCGUUGUACAUUUUCGUCAACCAACUUUCUGGACACAUUCCUCGAGAACUAGGUUAUCUUGAGAAGUUAGAGCGGUUGUAUCUUGGCACUAACACCUUAAUUGGUUCCAUCCCGAAUAGUAUAGGAAAUUUGACCAAACUCACAACCUUGUUCCUUUACAACAACCAACUUUCUGGACACAUCCCUCAAGAACUAGGUUUCCUUGAGAACAUAGAGAGGUUGACGCUUAGCAGAAACAUGCUAACAAGCUCCAUCCCAAAUAGCAUAGGAAAUUUAACCAAACUCGCAUCCUUGGACAUUUUCAUGAACCAAAUUUGUGGACACAUCCCUCGAGAACUAGGUCGCCUUGUGAACUUAGUGAGUCUGGAUCUUGGCGCUAACACCCUAAUUGGUUCCAUUCCAAAUAGCAUAGGAAAUUUGACCAAACUCACAUACUUUUACAUUUCCAGCAACCAAAUUUCUGAACACAUCCCUCGAGAACUAGGUCGCCUUGUGAACUUAGAGAGUUUGGAUCUUGGCAAUAACACCCUAACUGAUGCCAUCCCAAAUAGCAUAGGAAAUUUGACCAAACUCAGAGGCUUGUACCUUUACGACAACCAACUUUCUGUACACAUCCCUCGAGAACUAGGUCGCCUUGAGAACUUAGAGCAGUUGGUGCUUAGCAACAACACACUAACAGGUUUCAUCCCAAAUAGCAUAGGAAAUUUGACGAAACUCUACAUUUUGUACCUUGAUAAUAACCAACUUUCUAGGCAAAUUCCACAAGAACUAGGUUAUUUAGUCAGCUUAUACUACUUGGGGCUUAGCUACAACGCAUUGACAGAUUCCAUCCCAAAAAAACUAGGCAAUCUCACAGAACUCGCUGUCUUGUACCUCGACAAUAACAAAUUUUCCGGCCACAUUCCACGAGAAUUAAGUUAUUUGGCCAACUUAAAGUGGUUGUCUCUUAGAAAUAAUGCACUAACAGGUCCCAUCCCAAAUAGCCUUGGCAAUCUGACAGAACUCAAAAGGUUGGACUUUGGCCAGAACCAACUUUCGAGGCGAAUUCCAUAA
rnacentral:rRNA from 1 species